rnacentral:rRNA from 1 species
AUUGAACGCUGGCGGCAGGCCUAACACAUGCAAGUCGAGCGGAGUGGCGGUCGGGUGCGUGAUGCCUAGGAAUCUGCAUCGUAGUCGUGGAUAACGUCCGGAAACGGGCGCUGAUACCGCAUACUCUCACAUGAGCCUAGGUCGGAUUAGCUAGUGGGUGGGGUAAAGGCCUACCAAGGCGACGGUCCGUCACUGGUCUGAGAGGAUGAUCAGUAACACUGGAACGGAAACAGGGUCCAGACUCCAACGGAAGGCAGCAGGGGGUAAUAUUGGACAAUGAGGAAAAGCCUGAUCCAGACAUGCCGCGGGUGUGAAGAAGGUCUUGGGAUUGUAAAGCACUUGAAGUGGGGAGGCGUUACCAACAGAAUAAGCACCGGCUAACUUCGUGCCAGCAGCCGCGGUAAUUC